UGGGGAAUAUUGGACAAUGGGCGGAAGCCUGAUCCAGCAACGCCGCGUGAGGGAUGACGGCCUUCGGGUUGUAAACCUCUUUCACCAUUGACGAAGCUGCAUCUUUUUGGGUGUGGUGACGGUAGGUGGGGAAGAAGCACCGGCCAACUACGUGCCAGCAGCCGCGGUAAUACGUAGGGUGCGAGCGUUGUCCGGAAUUAUUGGGCGUAAAGGGCUCGUAGGCGGUUUGUCGCGUCGGGAGUGAAAACCUUGGGCUUAACCCAGGGCUUGCUUUCGAUACGGGCAGACUAGAGGUAUGCAGGGGAGAACGGAAUUCCUGGUGUAGCGGUGAAAUGCGCAGAUAUCAGGAGGAACACCGGUGGCGAAGGCGGUUCUCUGGGCAUGAUCUGACGCUGAGGAGCGAAAGUGUGGGGAGCGAACAG
rnacentral:rRNA from 1 species